CCCGGGCAGCGCGUAGGUCUGAGGAGCGCUCGUAGUAGGGAAUUCGACACAGCCGGGCAAACCCUACUCAACUGGAGUAGGACUUCAGUUGGAAACUGCGGUCUCACCGCCUAUUAGUGGGAAAAACAUAUUUCUAGAGUGCUUCCGCCCGCCGCCAGCCAUGGGCUGGGACUGCAAAUCCAGGCCGGCCGGAGUCCAGGAGUGGGGGCGGGGGAGGGCGGCGGUGGGAAGAGAGGCAUGCUGGGAACUGUAGUAGUGUCAUCUCCACGUUCGCCGCAGAAAUAACCACUUCCAGAUGUGCCCUUCCAAAUGUCUUCCUAUGCAUGUAUAUACAGUUGUUUUCCAGGUCGGAGAUAUGAUGUCCUUUUGCAAGGAUAGAGUUGCUUAAAUGACAUGGGUUCCUGAAUAGAAGGCCAAAAAGGAAGAGAAGAUACUGAGACUGCAUUAGAGAAGACAGACACAUGGAAUUUAUAACCUAACCAGGAGGAUAGACACUAAACAAAUAAUUGUAAUUCUUUGCAUCUGAUAAGUUUAAGAAAAAUUGCCAAUGUACAUAACAAGGACUAGGAAGGUGAAGACACACGAGGAGUAGGGGCAUAAGUGGUGGAGAUCGGUGACAAAGAAAUUUCUGAGUGAAAAGGAAUUUGAUCCAGCACUUUUCUUCUCUUUUCCCAGUACUAACAUACCUGUGUGAAUGCUGAUUUUUUUUUUAAAAACACCUAGAUUUCCCUGAUGGCGCAGUGGUUAAGAAUCCACCUGCCAAUGCCUGGACACAGGUUCGAGCCCUGGUCCGGGAAGAUCCCACGUGCCGCGGAGCAACUAAGCCCGUGCGCCACAACUACUGAGUCUGUGCUGUAGAGCCCGAGAGCCACAACUACUGAGCCCACAUGCCACAACUACUGAAGCCCGUGCAUCUAGAGCCCGUGCUCUGCAACAAGAGAAGCCACUGCAAUGAGAAGCCCACGCACUGCAAUGAGGAGUAAGUAGCCCAUGCUCACCGCAGCUAGAGAAAGCCCGCGUGCAGCAACGAAGACCCAACAGCCAAAAAAAAAAAAACAAACAAACAAAAAAACUCAUGGCAUUAUGGAAAACUGAUAAUAUUGAUUGUGGUAAAAGAUACUGAACUAUCAAAGUAAAAAAAAAAAUGAAAAUGUUGGUCAAGCUAUGUAAAAAAAUACUAAUUACGGUCAUUUCAGUGACCUCCUUCCUGUCGUAUCUUAUUGCCAUGAAGCACAAACAAUGAAGUGUAAUGUCAAAUGUGCAUGACUAACUAAGCUGUAAGCUUUAUUUGAUUAGAACAGUAACCUGUCUCCCUCUGAAUACCUGUUUGUAUCUUUAUAUAGUCAGUCUUUAUAGGUAGUUGUACAUGAGCAUGUUACCUUCUCAAUUGUAAAAUAUUAAAAGGAACAUGGCAUAGAUAAGGCCGUCCUUUAUUCUCAUUUUUGGAAAUUUAAGGCAAACACC